UGGAGGUCGCACGUCUUGCUGUAUGAUGCUGGAACACACAGCAUGGCGUGUGACCUCCGGA
rnacentral:pre_miRNA from 1 species